UUUCUUUGCUGCCUCCACUUCUCUCUCGCGACUCUCGGUUCUCGGUUCUCGAUUCUCGGUUCUCUCUCUCCGUCUGAAUUUUUUUGGGAUUACAUUUAUCAUAUAAAAUCUUUGAUCUACCAAAAUCUAUUAGGUUUUAGACCAUAGUUCUUAAGAUCAAAGUGAAGAGAUUGGCGAGGACAACGUUUUGACCGUUGGAGAUCGAAAUCCAACAAAUUCGAAAAUUGGGAUUUUUGCUUGUUUCCUCUUCUAGCUUUUGAGGUGAUUGUGGUGUGCCUCCGCCAAAGUGAAGGCGUGGAGGAUCUUUUGGAGCACAAGGCUCAAUUAUUUAUUUGUUAUGUUUUCUUUGCAAGCCAAGGGCUAUCUAUGUAUAGGUUUGAAAACCACUUUGUUGUAACCGGGCAAAGCCUUGGAACUUGUAGCGGUUAAGUCAUUAAUUUGUAUUUUGUUACUUUAACUUGUUAUUAUCACAUGCUAUAAAAUUCAUAUCUUAAGGAUGAUGAAUGUAUUAAUGCAAGUGGUCUAGUGUCUCUCUUUUGUGAAA